GACGUAGGGCGCGAGCGUUGUCCGGAUUUAUUGGGCGUAAAGAGCUCGUAGGCGGCUUGUUGCGUCGACUGUGAAAACCCCGAGGCUUAACCUCGGGCCUGCAUUCGAUACGGGCUGACUAGAGUUCGGUAGGGGAGACUGGAAUUCCUGGUGUAGCGGUGAAAUGCGCAGAUAUCAGGAGGAACACCGGUGGCGAAGGCGGGUCUCUGGGCCGAUACUGACGCUGAGGAGCGAAAGCGUGGGGAGCGAACAGG
rnacentral:rRNA from 1 species